CAUUUUUUUCCAAACCUUGCUAACUAGCGUUUUGAGAAACCAUCAUCCGCAAUAUCUCACCUUUAUUUUGUUGUUUUGGUUUCAUUUUUGCUAUCUUGAAGUUUGUUGGGUUAAGUAAAGGUGUUUUCUGGAUGAUAGAUCUUGAAAGUUUGAAGUGUAAAGCUUGUUUGAGAUGAGCUUGAUAUAUUACCAAACUCACUUGGAGGAGUAUAAACAUACAAUGUUGAUUGGAGAAUUUCAUGCUAUGAGAAAAAGAACAUGUCCAUAUUUAUGUGAUGGAUCCGAUCAGCUUUAAUGACAACAAGGGUUGAGAUGGUUCACGAGCAAUCCAACCAAGGGUCAUAAAGCUUUACAUCCUGGUUUAAUAUAUCAAUGAAAAAUGGACCAAAAACCAGGAUAAAUGUGCUCUUUAUUUUUAUUUUUUCAAAGGAAAACCAAUAUCAUUAAUAGAGAUCCAAAACCAAUAUCAUUAAUAAAGAUCCAAAAUACAGCGUAAGAUAUGUUAUGACAAGAAAUCAUACUCAAUAUACUAGUACAUGGGUAGUUAUCUUAUUAUUGCAUUUGAUGAACAAGAGGUAGACAAAUUAUACGUAUAAAUUACAUAUAUAUUGUAAUUUUUAUAUUAUUAAUCAAUAAAUUGUAUGUUUUUUUUUAUAAUUAUUUAGCAAUGAUUAAAAAACAUAACCAUAGUUUUUUUAUUUUCUCACGCCUAAUAAUGCAAAUUAAAAACUCAAAAGAUAAAACCAAUGUAUUAGUUACUUAGAGAUUUGUGAGAAUUGGAUCAAAUUCUAAUGGGUCGAAGAGUAGCUUUCUGUUUCGACAGAGAAUGUGUCGAAGACCUACUUACUGUAGUCGAAGUGGGUUCUAAUAUGUGGGUGUCGAAAUGCUAGGGUUGUUAGUAUUUUGAAUUGAGUCUGUUUGUUAUGUCCAAUUGUUUAAGUUAGCUUGUAUCUUAAGUUGGCCUGUAAUGAGUAUUUGUGAAAAACCCAUUAGUUUAGUAUGUUAGGUUUAUUAUAAAUAGCAUAUUAGUCUCUUAUCAUUGCAUACUGCAAAUCCUAAUUUAGGGUGAGAGGGUUAUUUGUUAUUCUUGUAACACUUAUAAUCUUAAUUGAAGAGAAAAUAAAGAAUAACAGUUAUAACCAAUUCCUUGCUGCUCUUGUUCGAGGCAUUUUUUUCACAACAAAUUGGUGCGGUGAGCGUGGAAAAGUCCAAGUGCUGAAGGUUUCGACAGAUCACAAUGUUGCUGAUAUGAUCACGAAGACAUUGCCCAAUUGCAAGUUUUUCCAAUGUAAGAACUCAGCAUAUCAUGAGCGAACCAAGCCUAUCGAUGUGAGGUUGCAUUUCGCCAGAGGAGUAAUCGAGCGCAGAGAAGUCCAAGUGCCGAAGGUUUCGACAAAUCACAAUGCUGCUGAUAUGAUCACGAAGACAUUGUCCUGUUUCAAGUUUUUCCACUGUAUGCAGUUGAUAAAGCUGCAUGAAGAAACUAGUUUGUUCUUUGAUGUUAUAGAGUUUUUUCCAAUGUGGAGAUUUGUGAGAAUUGGAUCGAACUCUAUUAGGUUGAAGAGUAGCUUCCUGUUUUGACAGAAAAUGUGUCGAAGACCUAUAAACUGCAGUCGAAGUGUGUUCUAGUAUGUGGUUGUCGAAAUGCUAAGGUUGUUAGUAUUUUGAAUCGCCUGUUUGUUAUGUCCAAUUGUUUAAGUUAGCAUGCACCCUAAGUUGGCUUGUAAUGAGUAUUUGUGAAAAAAAUCCAUUAGUUUAGUAUGUUAGGUUUAUUAUAAAUAACAUACUAGUCUCUCAUCAUUGCAUACUGCAAAUCCUAAUUUAGGGUGAGAAGGUUAUU